AAAAAAGAUACAAACCAUAAAGGAAAAAGAUUGAUUAAUUUGGCUACAUUAAUAUUAAGAACUUCUUUUCAACAUACAGCAUAAAGACUAUGAGAAGAGAACCCAUGGCCUGGAAAAUGGUAUUUACACACAGACGGCCAACAUGAAUUAGUGUCCAGAACAGUUUUAAAAAUCCACCCCUCCCCACCAUGAAUUAUUUAAAAAGGGUUGAAAACCUAUUAGCAAAAUAGAAAAAGACAUUAACAGGUCACAGAAGGAGAAAAAAUGAAUGAGCAAAACAUUAAUGAGCUAUUUAUCCUCUUUAGUAAUUUGAGAAAUGCAGAUUAAAAUUAUAGUGAGGUACCAUUUUACACCUAACCAAUGGGCACAAAUUUUAAAGUUAGACAGUAUUCGAGAGUCCACGAGAAUUUGGAGCAACCAGGCCUCAUCCAUUGCUAGCAACAGUGUAAAUUGGUACAACUUUGGAAAUAUAAUUUGUGUUUCUUGAUAAAAUGUGAACACAUACAUAACCUACAAUAUCCAUAACUUAUCCAUGGGCGUGUGCUUUAGGGAGUGGUUCUCACAGACCUGCAUCCCUGUGAUCCCGCAUCAGCAUCUCCUGGGAGCUUGUUAAAGAUGUACCUUCUCUAGCCACCCAGACCUGCCGAACCAGAGACUGGUCUGGGGCCAGCAAUAUGUGCUUGAGCAAACCUUGCCUGUGAUUCUGAUACACGUCCAAGUUUGGAACUACUGCUUUUAAGAAGUAUUGAUGUGUGUGUGUACUGGAGACUUGAGCAGGAGUGUUCACAGCAGCACUUCGUAAAAUCCGCAGACUAGAAGCCCUGACACCCUUCAGCAGGAGAAAGGAUAAUCCUAUUACGGUGUGUCCCUAGAGCAGUGAAAAUGAACAAUCCACUGUGACACUUACUAGAAUGGAUGGCACAAAACUCCGGAUAAAAAGCUUAUCACAGAGGCAUCUCUGCGGUAUGAUUUCAUUUGUUUAAAAGUCAAAAACUCUGAACAAGAAGCUGUUCAGGAAUAUGUACACAUGUAGUAUUCCUAUAAAGAAAAGCAAGGAAAUGAUUUAUACACAAUUCAGAACAGUAGUUCUGUUUGUGGGGAAGGCAAUAGGAUGUAAUUGGGGAGAAGCAUACAAACAUUAAAAGUACUGAAGAGAUCCUAUUUUUUUAAAAACUAGGUAGUGGGUAUAUUGCUGUUCAUUUUACUAUUUUUGUUUUUUUAUUUUUAAAAGAUUUUAUUUAUUUAUUUGACAGAGAUCUCAAGUAGGCAGAGAGGCAGGCAGAGAAAGAGAGAAGCAGGCUCCCCUACUGAGGAGAGAGCCCACCAUGGGGCUCGAUCCCAGGCCCCCGAGAUCAUGACCCGAGCCGAAGGCAGACUUUAACACACUGAGCCACCCAGGCACCCCUCAUUUUACUAUUUUUAAAAAUUAGCAUAUUGAGUGGGAACUGAACAUUCAAUUUUGUAAGGUGUAGGAUUGCAAAAUUGAGAGGCAGUAUUUUCCUGGUAUCAGGAAAGACUUUUAUAUGGAAAUGAAUGUGGGUGUAACAAGGAGCAGGGUGCAAAUAUGCAUGAUGUUUUAAAAUACUUUAAGGAAAGUGUGCACUGGUUGGGACUCCCUUAAGGCUGUACCCCCUCAGAUUUCCUGACAAUAAUUGUCACUUUGCUCUGCCCUUAUAGGUACUAUACUAGGGUAGAAAAUUGAAGAUACUCCAUAAGCAAGGCAGAGAGUUAGAGCUCAUGAAAACUUCCCCUAGUGAUGAGGGCGUUGAGGCUAGUGAUCUGUGAGCUGAGGAGGUAGUCAAGGUCCCCGGGGCUCGUCUAUCCCUUUCCCCUGCAUGACAGCCCAGGAGGAUCCCAUUCUAUCUGGUGUAGGUGGGUGGGUAUAAGUGGAAGAGGGUUGCUUGGCCCACUUUGGGCUUUCCACAUGUUAAGGGAUAAACCUUAACAAAAACCAUUUGUAAACUGCUUUUUCUAUAUCUCUUGAGAUGCUGGCAUUAUUUUUAUCCUUCAUUUUGUUAGUGGGGUAUAUCAUUGAUUAAUUUAUGUAUAUUGAACCAUCCUUGUUUUCCUGGAUUAGGUCCCAUUUGGUCAUGGUGAAUGAUCAUUUUAAUAUAUUUUUGAACUCUGUUUGCUAAAAUUUUGAGGAAUUUUGCAUCAGUGUUCAUCAGGGAUAUUAGUCAAUUUUCUUUUUUAUAGUGUCCUUGUCUAGUUUUCCUAUCUAGGUAAUGCUGGCCUCUUAGAAUGAUUUUGGAAGCAUUCCUUCCUUUUCUGUAUUUUAGAAUAGUUUGAGAAAAGUAAGUAUUAACUCUUUAAAUGUUUGCUAGAAUUUACCUUGAAACCAUCUGGUCAUAGACUGGUUUGUUGGGAGUGCUAAUUUUUAAAUUUUUAUUAUUUAUUUAUUUUAAAGAUUUCAUUUAUUUAUUUGAAAGAGAGGCAGUGAAAGAGAGCAUGAGCGAGGAGAAGGUCAAAGGAGAAGACUCCCUGUGGAGCUGGGAGCCCGAUGCAGGACUCGAUCCCGGGACUCUGGAAUCAUGACUUGAGCCAAAAGCAGUCGUCCAACCAACUGAGCCACCCAGGCGUCCCUGUUGGGAGUUUUUAGAUUAUAGAUUCAAUUUUAUUACUAGUAAUUAGUCUUUUCCGGUUUCUGUUUUUUCCUGAUUCAGCCUCAAAAGAUUGUAUGUUUCUAGAAAUUUAUCCAUUUCUUCUCGGUUGUCCAGUUUGAUGGCAUAUAAUUGUUCAUGGUGUUUUAUGAUCUUUUAUAUUUCUGAGGUAUCAUUUGUAACUUCUCUAUAAUAAUGGAUUUCAUUUAUUUAACUACUCUUUUUUUUUUUUUCUUGAUUAGUCUGGCUAAAUACCACCAUGUACUUCUGAACAGGGUAAGCAGGAAAAUGUCAGUUUUUCUAGUGGCAAAAUGAGAAGAUCUCUUCCAUAUACUUGACGUAUAAUUCCUAAGAUUUAGAGUUGAUUUUCAGCAAAACUAUAUAAUGGGUGAGGCAUAUAUUUGAAAUCCUGCUGUUUGAGAAUUGUACCCUCUCCUCUCUACAUGCAGUGUGCCACCUGGUUGGUCCCACUAUUCAUAUACCCCCCUCUGUAGGCUCUCCAUCAAUACAUUUACCCAACCCUUCUUGCUAAUCUAAUGAAGUACUUCAUGCUAGCAUAAAAGAGGCCAGUUGUGAUUGUCAGGAUACGGUAGCAGCAGGCAUGUAAGCUCUUUGAAUCUGCUAGAUCAUGCAGUCUUCAAAGGUGGGGACCAUUGCGUCUUUCUCUAAUCCAUCAAGUUCCUGCACUACAUAUGCUGUUAAGUGAACAAGCAGAAGAGUUGGUACAAAAGUGCAUUUAUGGCACCUGGGUGGCUCAGUGGGUUAAGCUGCUGCCUUCGGCUCAGGUCAUGAUGCCAGGGUCCUGGGAUUGAGUCCCGCAUGGGGCUCUCUGCUCAGCAGGGAGCCUGCUUUUCUCUCUCUCUCUCUGCCUGCCUCUCCAUCUACUUGUGAUCUCUGUCCAAAAAAUAAAAUCUUAAAAAAAAAAGUGCAUUUAUUAUUACAUCACCUCACAUCAUCUCCUCUUAUUAUGGUCUCAGUUACCCGUGGUCAGCUGUGGUCCAGAAGCUGAUGAUCCUCCUGGUAUAUCUUCAGAAUGUCAGUAGUAGCCGAACACUACACCAUAGCACCCACGUCAUUCCCUUCACUAGGCAUUCCCCUCACCUAGGCAUUUUACACCUCAGCAUCACAAGGGGAAGGGUGAGUACAGUAUAAUAAGAAAUAUUGUGAGAGAGAAAGACCACAUUCACUAAACUUUUGGUACAGUGUGUUAUUAUAAAUGUUCUGUUUUAUUACUAGUUACUGUUAAUCUCUUAAUAAUCUGCCUAAUUUACAAAUUAAAGUUGAUCAUAGACAUGUGUGCAUAGGAGGAAAACAGUAUGAGAGAGACUGUAUUCACAUCUUCUAAUACAGUAUAUUGUUAUAAUUGUUCUCUUUUAUUGUUGCUCAUCUGCUGUGCCUAAUUUUAAACUUUAUAUGGGUAUACAUGUGUAGGAAAAAAUGUAGUAUAUAUAGGGUUUAGUACUGUCCACAGUUUCAGGCAUCCAGUGGGGGUCUUGGAAAAUAUCCCCUAUGGAUAAGUGGGGACUUCUGCACAUACUAGUAAGGGAUCUGUGCCUUCAGCUUGAUCAGAUAAUGGCGUGUUUUUCCAAAGUGGCUGAAAUAACUUACAUUCCCACUAAUUCUGGAUGAGAGUUCAUUUUACUUUCUAUUCUUGCCAGCUCUUGACAUUGACAGAGAUAAUUUUUUUAAACCGAUUUGAUGUGUGUGAAAUGGUAUCUUCUUAUGGUUUUAACCCACUUUUGCUGACAUUCACCAUCCUGUGUUAGUUACCUGAAAUUUUUUUUAAAAACCCCAAAAUUGAAAAAUGCUGAAGUUCUUUUUGUCACACUCAUUCAGCGAUAUUAAGAACAGUUUUCCCUGAAGCAGCUGGUAUCCAACACAUGGAUGUUCACAGCGUGAUUCCCAUACACAGAGCGGAACUUCCUCGGGCUUGUAAAAUGAAGCCAAAGCUGCUGCCAGCCCUGUGAUUCUCUUCAGAACUGGUGGGUUUUUCCUGGAUUGAGUGUGAAUGUGCUGCUGCUUCUAGAAUGGAAGGCAAGUACCAAAUGACUCGCAUCUCUCAUGCCUUCUGGAAACUCAUGCCUGGAAGAUACAGCCACUCAUUCCUAUGCUGUGUGGUGGCCUUUAAGAGGGAGACAGCAACCUGCCAGCCUUCUGCAGAUGACUUGACUGCCGGCCAGGAUAGAUAAAGCACCAGUUGGCAGAGCGGCAGGCAGAGGGAGAGGGAGAAGCAGGCUCUCUACUGAGCAGGGAGCCCAAUGCAGGGCUCAAUCCCAGGACCCUGGGAUCACGACUCGAGCUGAAGGCAGCUGCUCAACCGACUGAGCCACCCAGGUGCCCCUUUUCUCAUAUUUUUUUGUUUGGACGAUAUUCCUCUGUUUUCAUUUUGUUUUACUUUCUGGGUUUGUUUGAAUGAAUUAGGCAAAGCAGCUACCUCUCCCAUUCUGGAUGAUAGGACGUGUACAGGAAUAUCCCUGAUGUAGACUGUGUAUGUCUGAUGGUUUGGGCUGGCUGGUUAUAGCAGUGAGGGGUGUGGUCUGAAAAUUUCCUGAGCGGUCUACUCUGGGUCACUCUGAUAAGACGGCUGGGGCUGAAGCAGGCAGAGAGCAGAGGUCCCUGGGUGCUUCACAAAGGGGUGCCCUGGUGGGAUAGUUGGAACUGAAGUGGGCAUGGGCUGGAUGGUCCCCCGGCAUUCUGUGCUUGGAGAAUCCUGGAGGGAUGGUUCCAGCUAUAGUCAGUGUGGCGUAGGGGACCUCAGGGCACUGAGGUGAGUUGGCUGGAGCUAAAACAGGUGGAGGCAUAGGGUGUCCUGGAGUGCUUUGUGCCUUUAUUAUCUGGGGAAGUUGGCUGCAGCUGUAAUGGGCACAACUAGAGGAGGGACCUGGUGUGCACUGUGUUGGGCUCACCUUGGGGGGACAGCUGGAGCUGGCAGGCAUGCGUGUAGGGGCCGUGUUGGGAAGAUGUCAGGCUGGUGUGGGCUAGGGACCUGGUGUUUGCUAAUGCAGCAGGCUGGCUAGAGUGCUGAGACCUUGAGCCCAUCUGUGCCGUCAAGGUAAGGCUGAAUGUAAACAGUGGUAAUCACUAGCACAUGAGUCCGGGGAAAGUUCUAGCAGUUCCUUCGCUGUUUGUUGAAUGGCCUAGGGUUAGUUCAGUUGCCUAGUUAGUUAGUUCUUAGUCAAGUUAGUCUAGUUGCCUUUUGAACUGCUGCUCCUUUUCCAUGCCACAGCAUGGGUGAAUCUGUGCAUGGCCUCUGUGCUAUCUCUUCCUGCUGCAGUUUACAUCAGGGCUGGGUUUCCUGUUGUAACUGUGUCUCUGUUUCUCCUGCUGUUUUCUGUGUGGCCUCUCUAUCUUGUUGUACAGAAGCUGUUCAAUCAGUCCUCAGUUCUUCUUGAGGGGAAGCUGCUCUAGAUGUUGGUAUAGAUUUGGUAUGUCUGUGGAAGGAGGUAAGCCAAAGGUCUUCCUAGCCACCAUCUCAGACCUAAAUCUUCCCUUUUUCCUUUGAGGAGUUUUAUUGUUUCAGGUCUUAUAUUCAAGUCUUUAAUCAAUUUUGAAUUGAUCUGUGUACAUGGUAUAAAGUAGGGGGUCCAGUUUUCCCAUCACCAUUUAUUGAGGAGACUAUCCUUUCUCAAUUUUAUAUUCUUGGCUCGUUUGUGAAAAUCAGUUGACUCUCUCUAAAAUAAAUUUAGUAAGGCGGGGGAGGGACACACCUGGGUGCUUCAGUUGGUUAAGUGGCCGGCUCUUGUUUUUUUCAGGUUUGUGAGAUCCAGCCUGGUAUUGGGCUUCACGAUCAGCAGGGAGUCUGCUUGAGGAUUCUGUCUCUCUGCCCUUCCCCUUACUGUCUCUAAAAUAAAAUAAAUCUUAAAAAAAAAAAAAGAAAGAAAAUCAGUUGACAUAGUUUUAUUUUUGGGCCCUCUAUGCUCUUCUAUUGAUAUAUGGAUUUGUUUUUAUAGCAAUACCAUAAUGUUUUGAUUACUACAGCUUUGUAAAUAGUUGCAAUCUGGAAGCCUGAUUCCUCCAACUUUGUUCUUUUUUCUCAAGAUUGCUUUGCUAUUUUUAGUUUUGUGGUUCCCAACAAAUUUUAUUUUAUUUUAUUUUUUAAAGAUUUUAUUUAUUUAUUUGACAGACAGAGAUCACAAGUAGGCAGAGAGGCAGGCAGAGAGAGAGAGAGAGAGAGAGAGAGGGAAGCAGGCUUCCUACGGAGCAGAAAGCCCGAUGCGGGGCUCGAUCCCAGGACCCUGAGAUCAUGACCCGAGCCGAAGGCAGCAGCCCAAACCACUGAACCACCCAGGCGCCCCCAACAAAUUUUAAAGAAAAAAUUUUUUUCUAUUUCUUUGAAAGAUGCUACUGGAUUAUUAAUAGGGAUUACACUGCAUCUAUAGAUUUCUUUGGGUAGUAUGGACUUUCUCAUAAUAUAAAUUUUUCCCACCCAUGAAUAUGGAGUAUCUUUCCAUUUGUGUCUUUUUCUUUUUUUUUUUCAUUAAAGUCUGGUAGUUUCAGUGUACAUAUCUUUUACCUCCUUAGUUAAAUGUAUUCCUAAGUAUUUUAUUCUUUUUGAUGUUUUUAUGGCAUUUUUAUUUGGCCAUAAAAUUGGCACAUGGGUCAUUUCAUCUUAAACCAUCAUUCAUUUAUUCCAUCUGAGAACACUGUUCCUAGAACUGCCACCUUAGUUUAAUCUAAAGAGGUAACUUCUUGGGGUGCCUGGGUGGUUCAGUGGGUUAAACCUCAGCCUUCAGCUCAGGUCAUGGUCUCAGGGUCCUGGGAUCAAGCCCCACAUCGGGCUGUCUGCUUGGCAGGGAGCCUGCUUCCCCCUCUCUCUGACUGCCUCUCUGCCUACUUGUGAUCUCUCUAUGUCAAAUAAAUAAAAUCUUAAAAAAAAAAAUAAAGAGUAACUUCCACUGAUACCUGACCUACUUAGACCUAAGUCUCACUGCAAGCACCCCAUGCUGGAGGAAAAACAGCCUGCCGAUUUCUCAGCUCUCAGCCGUGAGGAAUCCUAGGUUACCCUGGCAAUGAGGCAGAAAACUGCAAAAAGCCUGACCAGCAAAGCAGAAAGGAGAAGAAAGCAAGCCCGACCUAAUUUAUAAAAGAAACACCGCUAUUUGCUCUCAUACAAUAAAAGUUAUAAACCUUAAGAACUCUAAAAGGAUAAUUCAUGAUUGGAUAAUCUUUCUUUAAAAACAAGUCCUCUACAUUGUAAAACAUCAGCUACUAAUGAAGACUGUAAAGUGCUGAAAUAAAUAAAUGAAAUUUACAUCCAAACAGUAUUUACAAACAGGACUUUCAUGAAUGUAAUUCUUCCUUGGGCCUGUAGUUUGUGUAGUUCUAACUCUUACCUCGCAUGACUUUGACAUUUUGGAGGACUGUACCCUGGUUUUGUUUUAUUUUCAUGCUUUUAUUUUUGAAUAUCAAUGAUAUAUUAGUAUUACCACUGUCUUUUUGAAACCUAUAUCUCCAUCUGCUCAUGCUUUAAUAUAAAGUGUUUGAUUGUCCUCACUCUUUUUAAAAGAGGUACCAGUAAGAUACACUUUUAAUAAGACUGGGAUUUUAAAAACAAAGUAAUAGCCAGGAGAUAAAGAGCACUUGGACAUUGAAUGUAGUUUUAUGCAUUAAAAUUAACUGACAAAUGAAGUUCAAGUGACAUUCUAUGUUUUCAGUUUUUAAACAGUUUUAACAAUCACUAGGUUUAACAAAUCUAGAACCCCGAAUUGUCUACCAAUACUGUAGGUCCAAUUAGCUUAUCUUCAGAAGCAUCUUUUCAAUAAAGACAAUCUGUUAAGAAAUAAAUAGGGCAACACUCAAAAUGUGUGCCCAAAGCCCAUUUUGGAGGCAGUCAGUGAGUAAGAGUCUCUCUCGCAUACAAACCAGGGUGCUCAUGCUUGCCCCCGAAUUCCUGGAUGAUUUGCCUCCGAAAUUUCCCUUGUAGUUUUCCAGUACUCUGAAUCUACACGCAGCAGUUCAUAACCAAUACUAAUCCAGCAGCAUUUCCAAGUAUUUUUCAAAUACAAUCUAUGCAUAAUACCAUGAUUAAGGUACUGCAGGGGGAAAUGAAAGCUCAACAAAACCUGACUGAAACAUAAUUGAGAGCCUGCCUGAAAUCAUGAAGAUCACAGAAAUAUUUAGUAUUUUAUCUCAGUUUGUGUUAAGAACUUUCAAAAGGUAUUGGACACUAAAAGCAUAUAAUAUGAAAGGGAAAGUUGAAUUCUUGAUUUUUUGCUCUAAAAAUGUUCACUCUUCAUAUAGAAACAUGAAAAAAAUGUGUUCGGUUCCUACACAUGUAAAUCAUUUGUCAUCCAUUCAACUUCACUUCUUCACCAAAAAUCUUGUGAUGUCUGAUCCAUGCUUUGAUGCUAGAGAUUGUCUUCUCCCCUGGCUUCUUUCCUUAGCUUGUCUGGCAGUUCUCUAAAAGUUAAAAAAUAUAAAUGGUACACCUGUUAGGAAGAGAGUACUAGUUCCGGAAUCUCAAAAACUUUAUUUCAUCAGUCUGGAAAAAUCUACAUUAUCACCAUGCCCUGUUUCAGUGCUUUGCCCUCAGAUGGCACACCACACCACAAGAAGAGGACCCCAAUAGCUUCGUAAAUGCCCCAAGGUCCUAGGUUCACUUAGGACCAGAUGCUUUGGAGAAUGACUUACUCCCCAUUGAGACUGUGACUCCCUCCCUUUGAGGACUACAGGAGGCCCCAAUUCUCCUCAUCUAAGUAAGGGCGUACAUAAGCCGUCUUGUGAUUUCUCCCAGUGUGGUGCAUGUAAGCCUACUGGCUUCCCAUUCUGGGGUCUCAGAAGCCACUCCCAAGCCAAUGCAGAAAAACAAAAUGAGGUAGAUCAAAACUGGAUUCUUCUGCUAUUUCCACAAAUAAAAUUUCUCAUGAGAAUCUAAAAAUGAUUACAGAAGGGGUGGGUUUUCUUUUUGCUACACAGUAAUUCUCUUAAUAGGUCUUGCAUGUGCCAAUAAUUUUCACGGCUGAGAAAUCGGAUGACUUUUUUCCCAGUUCAGGUAUGUGAAGUUAUCCAGGUGGCAGGUGUGGGGAGAGAAAAGAGGGUUAAAACUAAAAGCAAAAAACCCUACUUACAUUACAAGGUCCAUUUUAUGUAAAAAUUGUAUUUGUGAAGAAACUGAGGAACCUAAAAUAUUAAAAUAAGGCUAAAAGUGCUUAUACAGUAUGAACAAUGGCAAAGGAUCUGAACAGUUUUUGAAAGUGUCAAACCACUGAUUAGCAUUUGUAGAACCCUCAGUAUCUUUGGUAAACAAAAUCGUGGCAGGCCCUUCUUACGCCCUCAGAUGAGCACUGAUGAGCUUGCUCAGUUCAACGGGCACUCUCGUCCCUCAACAGGGCUGGGAGACAGGAGGAGAACACAGUCCUUUGGGAAACUGCUUGGAGUUAAAUUCCUACAGUCAAACCCUUCACUCCAUGGUUUUACAUUUGAGGAUCUAAAGGAACAACCUCAAAACAGAACAGUGUAUAAACAGGAAAUAUAAACCACUUCAAUGCUCAUCAGUCUGGGAAUGGCUAAAUAAAUUAUAGCAGACAUAUACUCAAUAGAAUAAUGUGUAGCCAUUUUGGAUGAUAAACAUAAAUGCUUAUUAUGGGAACAUGGGAAAAUGCUUAAAUCCUGUCACAAUUAGGGCGCCUGGGUGGCUCAGUGGUUUAAAGCCUCUGCCUUCGGCUCAGGUCAUGAUCUCAGGGUUCUGGGAUCGAGGCCUGCAUCGGGCUUUCUGCUCAGUAGGGAGCCUGCUUCCCUCUCUCUCUGCCUGCCUCUCUGCCUACUUGUGAUUUCUGUCUGUCAAAUAAAUAAAUAAAAUCUUAAAAAAAAAAUAAAUCCUGUCACAAUUAGAAAAACAGAAAGUGCAUAUUGAAUGUGUGCUUCUUUCUAAGAAAAUUUUAAUUAGCAGAUCCUUUUGCUAAAUGGCCUGUUAAAAAUCCAUGCUACUUGGUAAAUAAUAGUUGGUAAAUAAUACUGUUGGUAAAUAUUUUCCCCUGCGGUUUUAAGCAACAGGUAAUAGUUCAAAAAGGUGCCAAGGUUAACAAGUUUUGCACUUUGGCCAAGAGUGUAAUGUCUGCAUGUUGAACUGAGGCGGGGUGGGGGUGGGGAUCCUGGAAAGAAUUUAUUAAUGUUCUCUGACAUGUCAGGAUAGCCUUAGCUGCAAGCGUCAGCACACACCACUGCCUCAGUUCACCAGUCUGCUGGGCUGAUGGUCUGGGUCACUUCCACACCAUGUAAGUUACAUUCAUUUUCUUCUAGGUGGUGGUGACAAUUUCCUGUCCUAGAACGAAUUCAAAGGAAAGCAGCUUCUCUUCUGUUUGGGACUGGGAACUCAUAUCAGCCUUGAGAGGAAACUCAGGUGAUGAAGGGAAUAAAGCCAUCUCGGAACCCAGACAAGGGAUACGGCUUCAUCCACUCAGCCUCCUAUGCCUGUGUACACACUUUUCUUUGCUGUCCCAGGAUGAAGCCACAUGGGUCUGCAUAGUGUCACUCACCUCCCUGUGACACACUGUGCACAGCGUCUGCAGGUUGUCCAGGGAGCACUGUCCUCCUCCACCAGAUACGGGCUUGAUGUGGUCCACCUGCCAGAAAUGCCCUUCUCCUGGGCUUCUUAUCAUUUCAUUAAGCUGCAGUAAGAACACAAGAUCAGCACUUUUCAACAUACGCUGUGGGAACUGGUGGUUUUGCCUUGUGCAAUCAUGUUUAUACAGCAAAAUCACAGCAAAAAAUACAUUAGGAUGGCUUUUUAUAGCUUUUAUUGUGAAUAGGAAAAAGCCUCUAGGUUAGCAAUUUGAAAGCAAUAAAAUAUGUUUCUGGAAAAAGUUCUUUCUCCCUUACCUAACCCAUUUUGAAAAAAUUACAAGCAAGUAUAAAGUACCAAGACUCCUGACAGAUGGGGAAAAUUACUUGCUUCUGCACCUUUGAGCUAGUUUAGAUAGUCAGUAAAGAAAACUGUGACAAGAAUGAGAUCAGAUUAGAAAUUUAAAAAACUUCUGAAUAUUACUGAGUCAAAUAAUCUUUAAUUAUACCUAAAGUCAUUUGUUGUUAUAAACAGUGAAAGUUCAACAGCUGUCAGCCGGAACCUUUAUGCCAUUCAUCUGGGAACCUCCCCAGUUCCAUGGACUGGAACGAAGUUUCCACAACAGAUCUCUCUCACUGGCCUAUCUAGAAUAAACAAAGUUGUCCACGUAAAGCAGCACUAUUUAGGCCUGCUCACAUAUAUGCACUUUAUAUUUUAUCUGUGAUGACCUACAUAAAAAUGGGAUGUAUUUUAACAUCCUGCUCGAGGCAGUAAAUGCAGCUCAGCAUUGUAGUUUUUUCAAUAUGAUAAAGAUGAGCAUGAAGCCUGUUUGUAUUUGCAUGGUCUUGGACAAGGCCGAAAUUAAAAUCGCUGCAUGCUGCUGGCCAAGGGAACCUGUGUCAUAGUUCUAACACACUUUGUCAGACAUGUGGAGGCAGAGGGACCUAACCAGCAGUGCCCAGCCCGAGAGGAGCCCCAAGAGGCAGCAGGCUGGAGCACUGAACUCUCCAGCUGAGGCCAGCCUUGUUAGCAGCAGUUACAGAUGGCCGUCUUGUGCAUCAAGCAAAUGAUGCGUUUUUAGGAAAGAAUAUCCAUUUUGUCUGCUUUUUGUAAUUAUUUUUUUUGCUCACGACAGGCUCGGGUGGACUCUCUAAUCCAGAGGUGCUUCUCUAUUUCUUCUAGUAGUUCCCAGUCACAUGGGGUCAGUCUUCAGCUGUUUAACUCUUAAAACAACCACUCCGUCUCCGGACUGGUCCUCCCCAAUUGAGCCCUAUGGUGCUCUCUAGCCUUGGAACACUUUUAAUAGAAUACUAUGUAAUAACUUCUGUUCCUGGAGAGGAAUGUCCUUGUGUCCUUUCAUUGUGUGUCUUCUGGAAGACUGCUCUGGGGUAGCAGACAGUUACUGCCGUCUGGCUGACACCCCUGGGAUGGGUGCAUGUGUCCCUCACCAAUUAGACUAAAGGAUAUUUCGGGAACUCUGGGUAUCAUGAAAGAAACAUUGUAUUUCCCUAGCUCUCAAAGUCAUGUUAAUUCAUCUUUGUAGAGAUGUUUAACUAAUUCUGUCAUAAUUUGGUGAUACUAGGCAAAUAAAAAUGUCUGAUUUGACCAACUGGCAGAAAUUUAUCCAUUACUUUAGUGGGGAGAGAAUGGCUCAGGAGUGACUUUUAAAAUUAAACAUUUUUCUCUAGUCUGAAACUUAGAACUGAUUAGAUCACAACAUUAGAAACCAGUUGAAUUUUGGAAAUAAAAGUAAAAACUGGUUGUUUUCUAAGAGUAAUAUUUUUUCCAUCAAUUGCUCUGCCAAAAUUACAUUUUACAGUGGGAUGAACAUAAAUAUUUUCUUCUCAUUGUAAUGAACUAUAUUUUGGGGGUUAUCUUCCUCUUGUCAUUCAAUACUAACAUCAUGAAAAGUGGAACAACCAGACCAUAGGUCCUUCUUGAUGGAAUGCAUGUAUCAUCUGUUAAGCUCUCUUCCCAAAAUAAUUUAAUCAGAAUCUAAUUAAGCCACUAUAUCUUAUAACUAUUAUUCUGGAAUCAGGGGGAUAGGGAAACAUGUCAAAUAAUACCAUGAGGAUACAGGAAGACAAAUCCAUAAUGUAGGAAAUCCUACAGGCAAAUGAUUCAGUUUCUUGAAUAGUCAAUGGUAUAAAAAAAGGAAUGGGGUGAUAUUAUAGAUUAAUUGGAAAAUAAGAAAUAUAA